rnacentral:rRNA from 1 species
UACGGAGGAUCCAAGCGUUAUCCGGAUUUAUUGGGUUUAAAGGGUGCGUAGGCGGCCUGUUAAGUCAGGGGUGAAAGACGGUGGCUCAACCAUCGCAGUGCCCUUGAUACUGAAGAGCUUGAAUGAACUAGAGGUAGGCGGAAUGUGACAAGUAGCGGUGAAAUGCAUAGAUAUGUCACAGAACACCGAUUGCGAAGGCAGCUUACUAUGGUUAUAUUGACGCUGAGGCACGAAAGCGUGGGGAUCAAACAGG